CGUGAACACGGCAGUUUGCACAGAGACUGUGUGAAACUUGCAGCAUCAAGAUGUCAAGACCUCCCAAUGAGGCUCAGCCUGCUUUGGCUCUGUUCUUCCCUGAAGUGUCUGCGAGAGAGACCUGAGGCCGUUUGAGGCCCUGCUGUGGCUCCUCACAGCGGGGUUAUAGACCUGCGAAGAUGAAGCUCGGCCGGCUGCUGCUCAGGCCUCCUGACUGACCUCCAGUGUUCAAGAACGACUCUGAGCUGAAAAGAGUGAAAGAUUGAGCGCCACAGUCAGAGGCGCUGAGGAAGGUCAAGUGCGUUGCUGCUUUUCUAGUAACCAUGAGGAUCAACGUUGUGGAUCAACAUGACGAGACUUUGCUGCAGGUUUCGUCUGAGUUGUAGAACCAGUUCAUCUGUCGAAGGAAACAAAGAUCACUUUGUAUGUCUGCAGUAAUAUUAACUGCUGUUACAGGAAAGAGGAAAUAAUUUGCUUCCAGAUUUUUAAGAAUCACAGUCAGCUUUGUGUUGAUUGUACAAACAUUUCGAUGAUAUUGCGCAACGGUUUGAUUAAAAAAAAAAAAAACACUUGAA